rnacentral:rRNA from 1 species
CCAACAGGGAUUGCCUCAGUAACGGCGAGUGAAGCGGCAACAGCUCAAAUUUGAAAUCUGACCUUCUUGGUCCGAGUUGUAAUUUGUAGAAGGUGUCUCGGGGACGAUGUCGGUUUAAGUUCCUUGGAACAGGGCGUCAUAGAGGGUGAGAAUCCCGUACGUUACCGAUCGUCAACCCCAUGUGAGACCCUUUCGACGAGUCGAGUUGUUUGGGAAUGCAGCUCAAAAUGGGUGGUAAAUUUCAUCUAAAGCUAAAUACCGGCCAGAGACCGAUAGCGCACAAGUAGAGUGAUCGAAAGAUGAAAAGCACUUUGAAAAGAGAGUUAAAAAGUAUGUGAAAUUGUUGAAAGGGAAGCGCUUGCAACCAGACUUGCUCGCGGGUGUUCAGCCGUCCCUCGGGGCGGUGCACUCUCCCGUGAUCAGGCCAGCAUCGGUUUCGGCGGUUGGAUAAAGAUUUCGAGAAUGUAGCUUCCUUUGGGGAGUGUUAUAGCUCGUUUUGUAAUGCAGCCAGCCGGGACCGAGGACCGCGCUUUUGCUAGGAUGCUGGCGUAAUGGUUGUAAGCGACCCGUCUUGAAACACGGACCAAGGAGUCGAUCAACUGUACGAGUGUUUGGGUGUCAAACCCUCUCGCGUAAUGAAAGUAAACGGAGGUGAGAGCCUUUACAGGUGCAUCAUCGACCGAUCCAAAUGUCUUCGGAUGGAUUUGAGUAUGAGUAUUGUUGAUCGGACCCGAAAGAUGGUGAACUAUACGUGAAUAGAGUGAAGUCAGAGGAAACUCUGAUGGAGGCUCGCAGCGGUUCUGACGUGCAAAUCGAUCGUCAAAUUUGCGUAUAGGGGCGAAAGACUAAUCGAACCAUCUAGUAGCUGGUUUCGCUCGAAGUUUCCCUCAGGAUAGCAGUAACGUUUAUAGAUUCAUGAGGUAAAGCAACGAAUGGAGGCCUUGGGGUUGAAACAACCUUAACCUACUCUCGAACUUUAAAUAUGUGAGAAGUCCUUGUUACUUAAUUGAACGUGGACAUUCGAUUAUACCGUUACUAGUGGGCCAUUUUUGGUAAGCAGAACUGGCGAUGGGAGAUGAAUCCAACGUGAGGUUAAGGUGCCGGAAUGUACGCUUAUCAGACACCACAAAAGGUGUUAGCACAUCUAGACAGCAGGACGGUGGCCAUGGAAGUCGGAAUCCGCUAAGGAGUGUGUAACAACUCACCUGCCGAAUGUGCUAGCCCUGAAAAUGGAUGGCGCUCAAGCGUGCUACCCAUACCUCGCCGCCAGGGUAGAAACGAUGCCCUGGCGAGUAGGGCGACGUGGAGG